rnacentral:rRNA from 1 species
AGUGAACGUUGGCGGCGUGGAUUAGGCAUGCAAGUCGAGCGAUCGUAGCAAUACGGGAGCGGCAAACGGGGUAGGAAUACAUCGGAACGUACCUUUUGGUUGAGAAUAGCGUUGGGAAACUGACGGUAAUACUCAAUAAAGUCGAGAGACCAAAGGUUUACUGCCGGAAGAGCGGCCGAUGCGAUAUUAGGUAGUUGGUGGGGUAAUGGCCUACCAAGCCUGAGAUGUCUAGGGGGUGUGAGAGCAUGGCCCCACCACUGGGACUGAGAUACUGCCCAGACACCUACGGGUGGCUGCAGUCGAGGAUCUUCGUCAAUGGGCGAAAGCCUGAACGAGCGACGCCGCGUGCGGGAUGAAGGCCCUUGGGUUGUAAACCGCUGUCAGGGGGGAUGAAACCGUAAGGUUGACAGAGCCCCAGAGGAAGCACGGGCUAAGUUCGUGCCAGCAGGCCGCGGUAAU